rnacentral:misc_RNA from 1 species
AUCAGUUCCGACCUAGAGUGAAGACUUCCGGAGGAAAAGAAAAUGGCGAACAGAAACAAAUUAUCUCCUUCCCUUGUUGUCUGGGUUCUAGUUUUAUUCGGAACCCUAAUUUUCAUUCUGAACCGAUUAGGUGAUUCAGGAGUCUCCUCAGAUGGUAAAGACAUUAAAAUCGAGGCAAAAACAUCAGAGGAUUUGGAGCGGGUGACGCAUAAAGUAUACUUUGAUGUCGAAAUUAAUGGAAAACCUACUGGUCGUAUUGUCAUGGGCCUCUUUGGGAAAACUGUCCCAAAGACAGCAGAAAACUUCAGAGCUCUUUGCACAGGGGAAAAAGGAACAGGGAAAGCUGGCAAGCCUCUCCAUUACAAAGGUAGCAGUUUCCACAGGAUCAUACCAAGCUUCAUGAUCCAGGGAGGUGACUUCACCCGUGGUGAUGGGCGAGGUGGAGAGUCAAUAUAUGGUGAAAGCUUUCCAGAUGAAAACUUUGAUCUAAAACACACUGAACCUGGUAUCUUGUCAAUGGCAAAUGCUGGACCAGACACCAAUGGAUCUCAAUUCUUUA